rnacentral:hammerhead_ribozyme from 1 species
AUCCAGCUGACGAGUCGAAAAUUAGACGAAACGCGCGUCCUGGAU